rnacentral:rRNA from 1 species
GAUGAACGCUGGCGGCGUGCCUAAUACAUGCAAGUCGAGCGAACAGACGAGGAGCUUGCUCCUCUGACGUUAGCGGCGGACGGGUGAGUAACACGUGGAUAACUUACCUAUAAGACUGGGAUAACUUCGGGAAACCGGAGCUAAUACCGGAUAAUAUAUUUAACCGCAUGGUUCAAUAGUGAAAGACGGUUUUGCUGUCACUUAUAGAUGGAUCCGCGCCGCAUUAGCUAGUUGGUAAGGUAACGGCUUACCAAGGCAACGAUGCGUAGCCGACCUGAGAGGGUGAUCGGCCACACUGGAACUGAGACACGGUCCAGACUCCUACGGGAGGCAGCAGUAGGGAAUCUUCCGCAAUGGGCGAAAGCCUGACGGAGCAACGCCGCGUGAGUGAUGAAGGUCUUCGGAUCGUAAAACUCUGUUAUUAGGGAAGAACAAAUGUGUAAGUAACUAUGCACGUCUUGACGGUACCUAAUCAGAAAGCCACGGCUAACUACGUG